rnacentral:rRNA from 1 species
CCUACGGGCGGCAGCAGUGAGGAAUAUUGGUCAAUGGACGAGAGUCUGAACCAGCCAAGUAGCGUGAAGGAUGACUGCCCUAUGGGUUGUAAACUUCUUUUAUAUGGGAAUAAAACGUUCCACGUGUGGGAUUUUGUAUGUACCAUAUGAAUAAGGAUCGGCUAACUCCGUGCCAGCAGCCGCGGUAAUACGGAGGAUCCGAGCGUUAUCCGGAUUUAUUGGGUUUAAAGGGAGCGUCGGUGGAUUGUUAAGUCAGUUGUGAAAGUUUGCGGCUCAACCGUAAAAUUGCAGUUGAAACUGGCAGUCUUGAGUACAGUAGAGGUGGGCGGAAUUCGUGGUGUAGCGGUGAAAUGCUUAGAUAUCACGAAGAACUCCGAUUGCGAAGGCAGUUCACUGGACUGCAACUGACACUGAGGCUCGAAAGUGUGGGUAUCAAACAGGAUUAGAUACCCCUGUAGUC